rnacentral:rRNA from 1 species
GCAACGCGAAGAACCUUACCUGGUCUUGACAUCCACAGAACUUUCUAGAGAUAGAUUGGUGCCUUCGGGAACUGUGAGACAGGUGCUGCAUGGCUGUCGUCAGCUCGUGUUGUGAAAUGUUGGGUUAAGUCCCGUAACGAGCGCAACCCUUAUCCUUAUUUGCCAGCACUUCGGGUGGGAACUCUAAGGAGACUGCCGGUGACAAACCGGAGGAAGGUGGGGACGACGUCAAGUCAUCAUGGCCCUUACGUGUAGGGCUACAC